rnacentral:rRNA from 1 species
UACAGAGGUCUCAAGCGUUGUUCGGAUUCAUUGGGCGUAAAGGGUGUGUAGGUGGCGCGCUAAGUCGGGUGUGAAAUUUCGGAGCUUAACUCCGAAACUGCAUUCGAUACUGGCGUGCUUGAGGACUGGAGAGGAGACUGGAAUUCAUGGUGUAGCAGUGAAAUGCGUAGAGAUCAAUGAGGAAGACCAGUGGCGAAGGCGGGUCUCUGGACAGUUCCUGACACUGAGACACGAAGGCCAGGGGAGCAAACGGG